rnacentral:misc_RNA from 1 species
CUGAACGCCUCUAAGUCAGAAUCCUUGCUAAAGGCAACGAUUAAUACCUCCAGAUAAUCUUAGGCGUACAAGGAUAGAGGCUCCGGCCUCAUGCGUCCCAAUGUGCCAAGGAGGAGAAUAACCUCCGAGGUACUGCCAGAUCAAAAUCUAAAAUUUCUGGAGAUAGAUCUUUUGCAGACGACUUAAAUAAAGAA